AUUGAACGCUGGCGGCAGGCCUAACACAUGCAAGUCGAACGGAUCCUUCGGGAUUAGUGGCGGACGGGUGAGUAACACGUGGGAACGUGCCCUUUGGUUCGGAACAACCCAGGGAAACUUGAGCUAAUACCGGAUGUGCCCUUCGGGGGAAAGAUUUAUCGCCAUUGGAGCGGCCCGCGUCUGAUUAGCUAGUUGGUGAGGUAAAGGCUCACCAAGGCGACGAUCAGUAGCUGGUCUGAGAGGAUGAUCAGCCACAUUGGGACUGAGACACGGCCCAAACUCCUACGGGAGGCAGCAGUGGGGAAUCUUGCGCAAUGGGCGAAAGCCUGACGCAGCCAUGCCGCGUGAAUGAUGAAGGUCUUAGGAUUGUAAAAUUCUUUCACCGGGGACGAUAAUGACGGUACCCGGAGAAGGAGCCCCGGCUAACUUCGUGCCAGCAGCCGCGGUAAGAC
rnacentral:rRNA from 1 species